GUAAACCCGUGAUAUUUUGAAGUAAAAUCGACAUAUUUUGAGGUAAAACCGAGAUGUUUUGAGGUAAAACCUUGAUAUUUUGAUGUAAAAUCGUGGUGUUUGAGGUAAAACAGUAAUAUUUGAGGUAAAUGCGUGAUAUUUGUGGUGAAAUCAUGGUAUUUUGAGGUAAAAGCUUGUUUCCAUGAGGCAAUGACGUGCUGUUUGACAUAACAACGUGGUUUU